AUGGUUAAGUGGGAAACGAUGUGGGAAGGCCCAGACAGCCAGGAUGUUGGCUUAGAAGCAGCCAUCAUUUAAAGAAAGCGUAAUAGCUCACUGGUCGAGUCGGCCUGCGCGGAAGAUGUAACGGGGCUAAACCAUGCACCGAAGCUGCGGCAGCGACACUAUGUGUUGUUGGGUAGGGGAGCGUUCUGUAAGCCUGCGAAGGUGGCCUGUGAGGGUUGCUGGAGGUAUCAGAAGUGCGAAUGCUGACAUAAGUAACGAUAAAGCGGGUGAAAAGCCCGCUCGCCGGAAGACCAAGGGUUCCUGUCCAACGUUAAUCGGGGCAGGGUGAGUCGACCCCUAAGGCGAGGCCGAAAGGCGUAGUCGAUGGGAAACAGGUUAAUAUUCCUGUACUUGGUGUUACUGCGAAGGGGGGACGGAGAAGGCUAUGUUGGCCGGGCGACGGUUGUCCCGGUUUAAGCGUGUAGGCUGGUUUUCCAGGCAAAUCCGGAAAAUCAAGGCUGAGGCGUGAUGACGAGGCACUACGGUGCUGAAGCAACAAAUGCCCUGCUUCCAGGAAAAGCCUCUAAGCAUCAGGUAACAUCAAAUCGUACCCCAAACCGACACAGGUGGUCAGGUAGAGAAUACCAAGGCGCUUGAGAGAACUCGGGUGAAGGAACUAGGCAAAAUGGUGCCGUAACUUCGGGAGAAGGCACGCUGAUAUGUAGGUGAAGCGACUUGCUCGUGGAGCUGAAAUCAGUCGAAGAUACCAGCUGGCUGCAACUGUUUAUUAAAAACACAGCACUGUGCAAACACGAAAGUGGACGUAUACGGUGUGACGCCUGCCCGGUGCCGGAAGGUUAAUUGAUGGGGUUAGCGGUAACGCGAAGCUCUUGAUCGAAGCCCCGGUAAACGGCGGCCGUAACUAUAACGGUCCUAAGGUAGCGAAAUUCCUUGUCGGGUAAGUUCCGACCUGCACGAAUGGCGUAAUGAUGGCCAGGCUGUCUCCACCCGAGACUCAGUGAAAUUGAACUCGCUGUGAAGAUGCAGUGUACCCGCGGCAAGACGGAAAGACCCCGUGAACCUUUACUAUAGCUUGACACUGAACAUUGAGCCUUGAUGUGUAGGAUAGGUGGGAGGCUUUGAAGUGUGGACGCCAGUCUGCAUGGAGCCGACCUUGAAAUACCACCCUUUAAUGUUUGAUGUUCUAACGUUGGCCCGUUAUCCGGGUUGCGGACAGUGUCUGGUGGGUAGUUUGACUGGGGCGGUCUCCUCCUAAAGAGUAACGGAGGAGCACGAAGGUUGGCUAAUCCUGGUCGGACAUCAGGAGGUUAGUGCAAUGGCAUAAGCCAGCUUGACUGCGAGCGUGACGGCGCGAGCAGGUGCGAAAGCAGGUCAUAGUGAUCCGGUGGUUCUGAAUGGAAGGGCCAUCGCUCAACGGAUAAAAGGUACUCCGGGGAUAACAGGCUGAUACCGCCCAAGAGUUCAUAUCGACGGCGGUGUUUGGCACCUCGAUGUCGGCUCAUCACAUCCUGGGGCUGAAGUAGGUCCCAAGGGUAUGGCUGUUCGCCAUUUAAAGUGGUACGCGAGCUGGGUUUAGAACGUCGUGAGACAGUUCGGUCCCUAUCUGCCGUGGGCGCUGGAGAACUGAGGGGGGCUGCUCCUAGUACGAGAGGACCGGAGUGGACGCAUCACUGGUGUUCGGGUUGUCAUGCCAAUGGCACUGCCCGGUAGCUAAAUGCGGAAGAGAUAAGUGCUGAAAGCAUCUAAGCACGAAACUUGCCCCGAGAUGAGUUCUCCCUGACUCCUUGAGAGUCCUGAAGGAACGUUGAAGACGACGACGUUGAUAGGCCGGGUGUGUAAGCGCAGCGAUGCGUUGAGCUAACCGGUACUAAUGAGCCGUGAGGCUUAACCUU
rnacentral:rRNA from 1 species